rnacentral:lncRNA from 1 species
CGCCAAGCCAAGAGGUAUGCAGCCCUGGGGGGCCAGAGAACGCGGCUAGAGGGUUAAACAGGCUCCGAGGAAACGCGUGUGAAUAACCCCAGAGCGCGUGUCCUCGUGCCCAAUGGUGGUGGACGGGCCCUGAGUCCUGCAGCCAAGGGCGACAGGGCAGCUGACACGAUUAGGAAGACUGCGUAGCCGAGGGACGCCUGAGCUGGCCCUGAGAGAAUGAACAGGUAGAGGCAGCUGGGGCCCUGAAGGACACCCCAACGGGGACCCCAAGGACACCCCAAGAAGGACACUGCAGGAACUGUGGGCUGCUCCAAGAAUUACAGAGUUCGUGUUUCAUCGAAACAGAAACAGCAAGAUUGACAAAUGUCAGAGGGCAUCUAGCCUGUGAAAGGAGCCAAAAGCCAGAGAUCCAGAGUCUGAGAUGGAGGACCGUGUAGCCAGAUGGAAACGAGGAACCCAGCAGGGGGCAGUAGAGGUUCUUCUGUCCCCAUCCUGGGCAGGCAUUUCCAGUUAAUCCAGCUUCUGAGCCCAUCAUUAAAACAUACCUAAUUCCAAUCAUCCACGGUCUCCUCGUUGUCAUGCAAAUGAAGAUAGGCGGAGUCAGAGUAGAACAGGAGGAAUAAAGGUUUGUACAUAGAAUCCAAACCCUUGAGAAGGACUUUGUUUUUCCAAACCACAGGAGACUCCUAUUCAUAAAGAAUGGGUAAAUUUCUUAGAUAGCCUCUGGACAUGUUAUUGUGAGGAUUUUUUUCUUUCUCUUUCAGUUGGGACAGGACAAUAAAACUUUAAUCAGCAA